UACGUAGGGUGCAAGCGUUAAUCGGAAUUACUGGGCGUAAAGCGUGCGCAGGCGGUUAUGCAAGACAGAGGUGAAAUCCCCGGGCUCAACCUGGGAACUGCCUUUGUGACUGCAUAGCUAGAGUACGGUAGAGGGGGAUGGAAUUCCGCGUGUAGCAGUGAAAUGCGUAGAUAUGCGGAGGAACACCGAUGGCAAGGCAAUCCCCUGGACCUGUACUGACGCUCAUGCACGAAAGCGUGGGGAGCAAACAGG
rnacentral:rRNA from 1 species